rnacentral:rRNA from 1 species
CAGUCGAGGGGUAACAGGGAGUGCUUGCACUCUGCUGACGACCGGCGCACGGGUGCGUAACGCGUAUGCAAUCUACCUCUUACUGAGGGAUAGCCCAUGGAAACGUGGAUUAAUACCUCAUAGUAUUAUAGACUGGCCUCAGUUUAUGAUUAAAGGUUACGGUAAGAGAUGAGCAUGCGUCCUAUUAGCUAGAUGGUAAGGUAACGGCUUACCAUGGCUACGAUAGGUAGGGGUCCUGAGAGGGAGAUCCCCCACACUGGUACUGAGACACGGACCAGACUCCUACGGGAGGCAGCAGUGAGGAAUAUUGGACAAUGGGCGAGAGCCUGAUCCAGCCAUGCCGCGUGCAGGAAGACGGCCCUAUGGGUUGUAAACUGCUUUUACAGAGGAAGAACCCUCCUUACGUGUAAGGAGCUGACGGUACUCUAUGAAUAAGGAUCGGCUAACUCCGUGCCAGCAGCCGCGGUAAUACGGAGGAUCCAAGCGUUAUCCGGAAUCAUUGGGUUUAAAGGGUCCGUAGGCGGGUCUAUAAGUCAGUGGUGAAAGUCUGCAGCUUAACUGUAGAACUGCCAUUGAUACUGUAGACCUUGAAUUAGUAUGAAGUGGUUAGAAUGUGUAGUGUAGCGGUGAAAUGCAUAGAUAUUACACAGAAUACCGAUUGCGAAGGCAGAUCACUAAUACUAUAUUGACGCUGAUGGACGAAAGCGUAGGUAGCGAACAGGAUUAGAUACCCUGGUAGUCUACGCCGUAAACGAUGGUUACUAGCUGUCCGGCCUAAUUGAGGGCUGGGUGGUUAAGCGAAAGUGAUAAGUAACCCACCUGGGGAGUACGUUCGCAAGAAUGAAACUCAAAGGAAUUGACGGGGGCCCGCACAAGCGGUGGAGCAUGUGGUUUAAUUCGAUGAUACGCGAGGAACCUUACCAGGGCUUAAAUGCAGUCUGACGUAUCUGGAAACAGAUAUUUCUUCGGACAGAUUGCAAGGUGCUGCAUGGU